UUUUGUCAUUUGUGUGUGCUUUUGUGUUGGUUGUGUGUAUCCUCGUCAUGUAGGAAACGGGUGCACAUCCAUAGUACUUGUAUUCUUUUGAUAUGACAUUAUGAGUUAAUAAAAACACCCUUUAUCGGAAAGAAAAACAGUGUUAAGCCAAUCAAGUAAAUAAGCCAAAGAAAAUCAGAUCGACUCAAGACGGUUAAUGGCUAGGAUUAUAUUCGUGUUUACCAGAUCUCUCUUUCGAAUUAGCUGGGAGGUACCGAGUAUUGAGUAUUGACUCGAGAAGUGCAGGUCGUUUCCUAGCCUAAACAAGCCAAAGAAAAUCAGAUCGAGAUGCUAUGCUACUACUCCAGCUCAGUGUAGCUUGCAUUGGUGUGGCAGCAUAAGUAGCUGCAGAGACUCAUCGCAGGAUAGAGAGGCGACAAUCGAUUCACACGCUCUGACCACACUUUGAUCUGAUCUGUUCGGUACCUGACGGAGCCGUGGUAGCUCAAGCUCGCUGCCGGCAUGGAGGUGGAUGGCAAGAAGCCGUACGUCAUCGCCGUGAUCAUCCAGGUCAUCGCCACCGGCAUGCUCGUCACCUCCAAGGCGGCGUACAACCAGGGGUUCAACACCUACGUCUUCGUCUUCUACCGCCAGGCCGCCGCGUCUCUUCUCUUGCUGCCUCUCGCCAUUGUCCUCGAAAGGAAAAACAUACGGUUAAUGUCGUUCCGGUUGCUCAUGAAGCUGUUCCUCUAUGCCUUAUUCGGGACUACAUUUAGCUUGAACCUGUACAACGUGAGCCUCAAGUUAACAUCUGCUACCGUGGGGUCUGCAACCAGCAACUCCAUGCCCGUGGUCACCUUCAUCAUAGCGUUACUGCUGAGGAUGGAAGUGGUGAAGCUGAGGAGCCCCUCGGGCAUAGCCAAGGUGGCCGGCGUCGGGCUCUGCCUCGCCGGGGUGCUCGCCAUCGCCUUCUACGUCGGUCCGUCCCUGGACCCGGUGAACCACCACCGCGCCUUUGCUGUCGCAAACGGGGAGGCUGAUGCGAAGAGGGGGACGUGGAUCAUGGGCACGUUGCUCAUGGUGCUCGUCAACGUGACGUGGUCCCUGUGGAUCGUCCUGCAGGCCGCGCUGCUCAAGGAGUUCCCCCACAAGCUGCUCGUCACGGCGACGCAGUGCGCCUUCAGCGCGGGCCAGUGUUUCGUCGUCGCGGCGGUCGCCGAGAGGGACUUCUCCCGGUGGCAGCUGGGGUUCGACGUCACAUUGGUCGCCGUCCUCUACACCGGGUUUGUGGUGACGGGAGUGUCGUACUACCUGCAAGCAUGGUGCGCGGACAUGAGAGGGCCGGUCUUCCUCGCCGUGUGGAACCCGCUCUGCUUCGUCUUCACCAUUUUCUGCUCCUCCUUCUUCCUCGGAGAGAUCGUUCACCUCGGCAGUAUCUUGGGUGGAAUUCUUCUCGUUGGAGGUCUGUACAGCGUGCUGUGGGGUAAAAGCAAGGAGAACCGGACUGGGCCAUGUGGUGAGCCGAUUAUGAUGAUCCAUGGCGUGGGUGACGGGAAAUCUGCAGAUGAGGAGGAGAAGAAUGCGAGGAGCAAACAAGUUAACGGGGAGAUGGAGCACGAUAAAGAAGCAACGGUAUCGCCUGCUGAACAAGUCUGAUUCGAUCGAUUAAAGGAGGCCCCAUCUUCUCAUGGGAUGCAUCCAUUAUUCGAGUAAUUGUGAAUUCAGUCCAAUUUGAACUUGCAUCCAUUAUCAAUUUAUUACUGCUCUUUAGCUAAUUCUUAGUUGCUUAACCUUUUACAAAUCCCGGUCACCUAAACUUGCAUACUACUGAGCUUACACUGCAAACUUUGAAGGUAUGCAACUUUUAGUCCAUCUAUACAACAUAGAGGUAAUUACAUCAAUGGUGCCUAAACUUGCCACCAAUGUUUAGUUUUGUGCACGAACUUGAAGAAUACACCGAUUUGGUGCAAAAACUUGGCUCUUUGGUGCAAAUACGGUUCGAAUCACGUUUUCAUACGUCCGCGCUGCUGACCAGGAUGCCAGCGUGGUCGUGGGACCUAAUGUCAGCGAGUGCCCCUUCGUUCUGUUUAUUUUUUGCACAUAAGCCCUGACCCGGUGGGACACAGCAGCCCGCCCCUGCCCCCCUCCCAAAUCCCUAACCCUCGAUCCCCUUUCCACCGCGGCGGCGUGCUCAAGUAGGACGGCGGCGAGGGCCUCCUCCGUGACCGUGUUCUUCACCAGGCACACCAGCUGCGCGGCCGGCACGCCCUACGCCCUGCCGCGGUGCUCGAGGCACGCCGCGUUGAAGCCGUCCAUGCCCAGCGCCAGCGCGUCCGGGAGCAUGUCCGCCGGCUGCCACAGCUCGUACGUCGGCUUGUGCAGCGACAACACGUGCGCCUUUGCCCACGGCUUCAGUUGCUGCAGUACCUCCAGCCUCUACGGCGCAAGGGCGACUUGUGUGGGCACAGAGAUGCGCUUGCUCGACGUGUAUGCAAUGAAGGUGUGACACAGGGCCAUGGUUUUUGGUGUGACGGUAUGAGGAUGAGAGGACUUGUGGUUAUGACAAAUGGAUCGACAAACCAUGGCAGGGAAGGGAGAGAAGUGUAAUUGCUAAUCUUGCUAGCAAGAAAGAGGUUUUGGAGAAGAAGCUGAAGGAGAAAGAUGGUGACAUAGAAGCUGUGAAGGAGAAGCAGAUAAUGGAGACGAGAAUGAUUGCAAUGGAGAUCAGUUGCUAUCCAGAGAUAGGAUGAUAAUGUUUUGCUAUAUUAAUGUAUUUUGGUUUAGUCGCAAUCAUGUUUGCAAUGGCUGGCAGGUCCUGAUGCAUUUAGUUUUAAUGUAUUUUGGUUUAGUUGAGACAAAAUUAGUAUUUUGAUGAACUCAAUGAGAUGUACUACUGAAAUGCUUGGUCUGUGUAUUGAAAGAAAAUGGCAAUUCGAGAUGUUUUGUUUCCUGUACUGCAGUUUCAGAUUAAUGUCAAUUUCAUGUACA